rnacentral:rRNA from 1 species
UAGGGAAUAUUGGUCAAUGGGGGCAACCCUGAACCAGCCAUGCCGCGUGAGGGAAGAAGGUCCUCUGGAUUGUAAACCUCUUUUGUCGGGGGAUAAAUCUGCCUAAGGGGCAGUUGAAGGUACCCGAAGAAUAAGCACCGGCUAACUCCGUGCCAGCAGCCGCGGUAAUACGGAGGGUGCAAGCGUUGUCCGGAUUUAUUGGGUUUAAAGGGUGCGUAGGCGGUUAUAUAAGUCAGUGGUGAAAGUUUGCAGCUUAACUGUAAAAUUGCCAUUGAUACUGUGUAACUUGAGUGCAGUUGAGGUGGUUGGAAUGAGUAGUGUAGCGGUGAAAUGCUUAGAUAUUACUCAGAACACCGAUUGCGAAGGCAGAUCACUAAGCUGUAACUGACGCUGAGGCACGAAAGUGUGGGGAGCAAACAGG